UACAGAGGGGGCAAGCGUUGUUCGGAAUUACUGGGCGUAAAGGGCGCGUAGGCGGCCGCCUAAGUCAGACGUGAAAUCCCUCGGUUCAACCGGGGAACUGCGUCUGAUACUGGGUGGCUUGAAUCCGGGAGAGGGAUGCGGAAUUCCAGGUGUAGCGGUGAAAUGCGUAGAUAUCUGGAGGAACACCGGUGGCGAAGGCGGCAUCCUGGACCGGCAUUGACGCUGAGGCGCGAAAGCCAGGGGAGCAAACGGG
rnacentral:rRNA from 1 species